GAAGAAAAGAAAAUAAUACCAUCAGCUUCUGCAAAACUCUCUUAUUUUUGCUUCAGUUGGGACCGCAACGACAUUUGUUGGUUUGGCAGCAUGUCGUGCAUAUGCAUGAAGAAGAACUCUUCUGCCUAGUCAUCAAACAACUUAAAUUAUGGUAACAGUUUUUACAUAAUUGUGAAUUUGUGUUAAAGUAUUGUAUACAAAACCUCAUCGGGCGACCUUAAGUUAUAGUCUUUUAUGCAUAAUAAUCACUAAUUUCAUUUAUUCUUUGUUAGGUUAAGGCUUGUUAUAUGUAGUUAGUUUCCUCAAUAUGAUUGUUGGUUUUCAGUCUAA